UACGAAGGGGGCUAGCGUUGCUCGGAAUCACUGGGCGUAAAGGGUGCGUAGGCGGGUCUUUAAGUCAGGGGUGAAAUCCUGGGGCUCAACUCCAGAACUGCCUUUGAUACUGAGGAUCUUGAGUAUGGGAGAGGUGAGUGGAACUGCGAGUGUAGAGGUGAAAUUCGUAGAUAUUCGCAAGAACACCAGUGGCGAAGGCGGCUCACUGGCCCAUUACUGACGCUGAGGCACGAAAGCGUGGGGAGCAAACAGG
rnacentral:rRNA from 1 species